UACGAAGGGGGCUAGCGUUGCUCGGAAUUACUGGGCGUAAAGGGCGCGUAGGCGGAUAGUUUAGUCAGAGGUAAAAGCCCAGGGCUCAACCUUGGAACUGCCUUUAUACUGGCUAUCUUGAGUUCGGGAGAGGUGAGUGGAAUGCCGAGUGUAGAGGUGAAAUUCGUAGAUAUUCGGCGGAACACCAGUGGCGAAGGCGACUCACUGGCCC
rnacentral:rRNA from 1 species